GUUUUAUUGCCUGGAGCUGCACACAUAUCUAGUACAGUUUCUCCUGGUUGAGGGUCCAACACUCGAGAGCAUAGUAUAGAUGGUAAAUUCUGCAGUAGCACGUAUCCUUUAGGUUUAAUUCGACUGAUUUGUCCCAGCCAUUUACAAUGAUCAAUUCCUCCACACAUGGGAAAGUAGAAAUGAUUGGAAUAGGUCUUGUGUACUGUUGAAUUCAGUAUUUGUUAUCUCUGUAUAUUCACAUACAAUCAAAUAAUAAAAAUCUUAAAAGUA